AAACGGGCAUUUUCUUUGACAACGAGCCUUGUUCAUUCUUUCAGGGACCUGGCCUGACUGGCACAGCACACUGCCACCUUCUUGUCUCUGGUCGCCCCUAGAGUCCUGGAGCCCCGGGUUUCUAGUCAUUUGUCCCUUUGCUGAAGGACUCGCCAACUUCUCCCACCUUCUGUUCCAGAUGAAGGAGGAGGGGUUCAGGCAGCUCUUCACCGCCUUCAGCGCGCUGACCCACUGCAGCCUCAAGUUCACCAAAGACGGCAAGUUCCGCAAGUUUGGCUUCAUCAGCUUCAAGUCCUAGAAGGAGGCCCGGGCUGCGCUGAACAACUUCAACAAGAGCUUUAUUGACAUGUCCCAGAUCACAGUGGAAAUCUGCAAGUCCUUAGGGGACCCAACAAAGCCCCCAGCCUGGAGCAAACAUUCCCAGAGACCAAGGCAGCCCAAGCAGCCCUCACAAGGCUCUGCCCCCCGGAAAUUAAGAAGGAUGACAAGAAGAAAAAUGGAGCAGGUGAGUCUGUCCUGUUGACCGAGAGGGCGGGGGCAGCCAGUCGGAGAGGUGCAGGCUGGUCCAGAAAGCAGAGCCC